UACGUAGGGUGCGAGCGUUAAUCGGAAUUACUGGGCGUAAAGCGUGCGCAGGCGGUUUGUUAAGACAGAUGUGAAAUCCCCGGGCUUAACCUGGGAACUGCAUUUGUGACUGGCAAGCUAGAGUAUGGCAGAGGGGGGUAGAAUUCCACGUGUAGCAGUGAAAUGCGUAGAGAUGUGGAGGAAUACCGAUGGCGAAGGCAGCCCCCUGGGCCAAUACUGACGCUCAUGCACGAAAGCGUGGGGAGCAACCAGG
rnacentral:rRNA from 1 species